rnacentral:rRNA from 1 species
CAGCAGCCGCGGUAAUACGGAGGGUGCAAGCGUUAAUCGGAAUUACUGGGCGUAAAGCGCACGCAGGCGGUUUGUUAAGUCAGAUGUGAAAUCCCCGAGCUUAACCUGGGAACUGCAUUUGAAACUGGCAGGCUAGAGUCUUGUAGAGGGGGGUAGAAUUCCAGGUGUAGCGGUGAAAUGCGUAGAGAUCUGGAGGAAUACCGGUGGCGAAGGCGGCCCCCUGGACAAAGACUGACGCUCAGGUGCGAAAGCGUGGGGAGCAAACAGGAUUAGAUACCCGUGUAGUCCCUGUCUCUUAUAC